AGCAGCCGCGGUAAUUCCAGCUCCAAUAGCGUAUAUUAAAGUUGUUGCAGUUAAAAAGCUCGUAGUUGAAUUUUGGGUUUGGCCGAUUGGUCCGUUCUUGUAACGAGUACUGGUCGGUUGGGCCUCACCGCUUGGGGAGGGGUAAUGCCCUUUAUUGGGUGUUGCUCGGAGCCAAGACCUUUACCUUGAAAAAAUUAGAGUGUUUAAAGCAGGACAUAUGCCAGAAUACAUUAGCAUGGAAUAAUAGAAUAGGACAACGAUUCUAUUUUGUUGGUUUCUAGGACCGUUGUAAUGAUUAAUAGGGAUAGUUGGGGGCAUUAGUAUUCAAUUGUCAGAGGUGAAAUUCUUGGAUUUAUUGAAGACUAACUACUGCGAAAGCAUUUGCCAAGGAUGUUUUCAUUAAUCAAGAACGAAAGUUAGGGGAUCGAAGACGAUCAGAUACCGUCGUAGUCUUAACCAUAAACUAUGCCGACUAGGGAUCG
rnacentral:rRNA from 1 species